rnacentral:lncRNA from 1 species
ACUAUGGGUUAACCAGGUAACUAUGCUCUUUGUGAAAUGUACCAGAGUAGCCACGACAACUUGUAAUCUGUCAUUAACGGAGCAUAAUGCACUCAGAAAGUUCUGCCAGAACUCUUUGCUCUCCCCACUCCCCCGCCCUCUACUGCUGUAUCCUGCUUGCUAUAUUCCCAGGAAAACUCCAAUAAAAUUAAGCUUCCUAGAUAUAAAAAGAGGUAAACAUCAAACACACCAGUCCAUCUCUUUUAUGAAGACAAAUGGCCUUCUACUAACACAACUCAGAUGAGUCUUCCUGGAGAGUUGAGCUAAAUUGUGUUUUAGCCAAACAGAUUACCCGUCCUCUUAUGUGGAGAAAUAGUUUUUAAUAAGGCAACUCCACAUGGCCCAUUGCUCCCUUCUAAACGGCAGCACAGAAGAUAACAAAGAGACCUGAAAGGCAAUGCUUGGCCAGAUGCUCAUUCUUCCCCUUUGCAGCCCAUGAAGUCAAGAGGAGAAAAUACAGUGAGUCACCUCGCCUCCAGCCCACAUGGUCAUCACCAUGGCAACCUCGAUUGCCAGGUGGAGAGUUUACCCAUACAUCAUAAUUGCUAUGUCCACUUGAAGCAGAUUAGGAAGGAAAAUGUCUGUAAUUUUA